rnacentral:lncRNA from 1 species
CUUAGACCGACCGGUCCACCAAAGCAGAGAGCGCAUAAACCGCGGGGACGUCCGCGUCCCGCAGAGUGAUGAAUUAAGGAAAGAGGCUCGCCAGCUGAAGAAGGAGCUCCAGGCCAUAAAACAAAGGAAAGAAGAACGCUUGAACCCCAAAGCAGAAGAAACCAAGGAGGAAGAAGAUCAGAAGCCGACCAAUGAGGCGGUGGCUGAGUAUCUGGAGGGACGAAAAAAAUACGAGGAGCUGAAGACAAAGAAGCAGAAGAAAGGUUCUGGCAGAGAGCAGCAGGUAACAUGAAUUCAUUUAGGUCAGCUGCUUCUAACAGAAGCAAAAAUAACAGCAAUAAACCAUCUUCCACCUCAGUCUUUGUCAUUUAACUAUUCUUC